rnacentral:lncRNA from 1 species
ACUCUUCUUUGAAAGAGUAGUAGGAGAGUUUAAUACAUGUCGCCAAAGUCGGGAGGCAGAAAUCACUUUGUAAACUAACCAAAAUAUACGUCCCCUCCAAAUUAUCCAUGUCAGAUAAAAAUAUACCAGUCUCUAGAAUAUCCAACGGAAUUGCAAAUAAGGCACUUAGCAUUUUAAAUUCCCAAUGCAUAUUUAUAGAAUACAAUUCUCUUGUCUACCCUUCAAGCCACUCACAUCUGACUCUCUAAGAACUUAACCUGAUCUCCGAUCUUUAAAGAAAAAGAGGUUGGGGGGGGGGGGGGGGGAGAGAAAAAAAAAAAUCCAGAAAGAUCUGUUUACCCUGGAUGGGGCAAGGGAGCCCGGCAUGACGACGGAGGCCCCCGGCACAGCCUGCACCGCAAGGACGCGGAGCGAGCGGGGGUUUCUACGAAGAAUUUCUCCUUUCCCCUGCAAAACACUAACCGUGGGGACCCCUGGAGCCGGCUGCUGCUCCGGGCCGCCUCCGGGACGAGCGCUCGGGGUCGCGAGGGGGCAGCCCCCGCGCCGGCGCGCGCUCGCACACCCGGGGUCCGGGUCCAUCCGCCGCGGCCGGGAGCGAGCCCCGGGGCGCGUGUGUGCGCGCGGGUGUCUGGCCGCGGCCGCCGGUGACCGCGCCGAGCUCCCGGGCCCGCGGCCUCCGAGCGCCGGGACGCGGCGCGGGCUGCGGGGCCUCGGGCCGGAGAAAGGCCCCGGCGCGCCCCGGCUCCCGCGCGCCUCUGCCCAAGUUGCCCCGGAGCGCCGCGCGGAGCGGGAGAAAGGAAGGCGCUUCCCCUCGGCCUCGCGGGUCAGUCCUGCCGCGGACGAGGACGAGGAGGAGGAGGAGGAGGAGGAGGAGAGGAGGAGGAGGAGGAGGCGGCCGCGGCGGCCCGGCUGUCGCUGCGCCGCGCACGGUCCCCGCCGCCCGGGGCGCGCCCUCGCCAGCCCCUCCUGCGAAACUUUUUCUUUUAGGUUCGCCCCACCCGAAAAGUGCGGCCCGGGAGGGGGAGGCGGGCAGCGCGGGUCCGCGGCGGCGGCGGCGGCGGCGGCGGCGGCGGCGGGCGAGGAGGAAGUGGUGCCCGCGGGAGCGCGGACGGGCAGAGGAAAUGCCCGGGCCGCUCGGCCCCCGCCCGCGCCCGCCCGCCCGCCCGCCCGCCCGCCGGCCCCGCGCCCGCGCCCGCGCCCCCGCCCCGCGGCCACUUUGGCGGGCCGAGCCCGGCGCGGCGGCGGCGGCGGCGGCGGCAGCUGUGGCCCGGCCGCCCGGAGGAGCCAACAAUGCGGGGCCGGCAAAACAAAAGGGUUCCACUUCGCCUCCCCUCCUUCUUUCACUUGCGCUCCCGGGGCGCCGCGCGGGAGCCCCGGCCGGCAGGGGCCGCUCCCCCGGGGGCCCCGAGCCGCGCGCGCCCCGGCCUCCCCGCGGACCCCGCUCCGCCCCCGCCCCCGCCCCCGCCCCGCACGCCCAGGCCCCGCGCGCUCGGACUCCCGGUCCCGGGGGAUCCGGCCGUAUUGUCCCCGCGGCGCGCCGCGCGCUCGGCCUGGGUCGCCGCCGGCCCCCGCGCGCGCACCCACCGGCCUCGGGGAGCAGGAGCCGGGGGCGCCUAGGAAACCGUCGCCGAGACGCCGCCGCCGCCGCCGCCGCUGCCCUCCGGACGCCGCCGCGCUCGGGAUUUCUUUUCUCUCUCUUUUUUUUUUUUUUUUUUUUUUUUGUUGAAAAAGGGUUGGAGAAGGAACCCUGGAGGACUGUGGCUUUCCAUAAAUACAAUUAUGUAUUUAUAAAACCUAUGGUCACGUCUCUGAAUUCAGAUCGGGGUUUAUUUACUGUGAUGCAAAACAUCUUGAGGGAACAUGGCAUACAGAUACUCUAAUUAACUCAAUCUAAGAAUCACGAUUCUUGUAGUUAACAGAGUGCUACUCUUAACACUCUGAUGACGAACUCUGCCCAGAAGGCCAGUCUCACAGGAAGCAGGAAGCCUCCUAAUUACAUAGGACUUCCAACACACACUGAAAAUUGAGAUGUUGAGGGUCAGACAGGGAGACACACAGAUCUGUGCUGUGCCCGCAGGCGGAGGGCGUGUCACGUACGAAUGGCAUGCACCCACGCCAGG